rnacentral:snRNA from 1 species
UCACUUACCUGGACGCAGUGAAAGGGUGAUCAACAAGGCCCAUGGCCUAGGCUAGUGACCUCCAUUGCACUUUGGAGGGUGCCCAUCUAAGGUUUUCCCAAGUUGUCGAGCCUACAUUAUAAUUUAUGCCAAUGGGGGCUUGCGUUCGCGCGGCCCCUAC